AUAUGUAUAAUUUUAUACUUAGUCUACACCUUCUUUUAUCAAGUGGACUAAAUACUAGAUACAUGGCAGUGAACCUCCACAUAAGACAUAAGUAGGCACUAAAAAAAUAAAAAAAGAAAUCAAUGGAGAGCUUUGGAGAAGUAAAGUUUUAAUGAACUUCUAAAUGAUAUGCCUGCAAUUCGGUUGUUCUAGAGUGUUAAAUAUAAAAAUGUUUAAACACCGUUCUCUAACAGCUUAAGCUUUUAGAGUACAACGGUUGUUUCACAUGGUAUCAAAGUAGGAGGUCCUAAGUUCAAGUCAUGCCAGACCCCUAGUAUAAUUAAUUUCCUCCCAUUUAUCAAGCCCACGUCAUGAGCCGACUAAAAAGUGGCGAACCCAGAUGUGAGGACGUGAGGGGGAGUGUUAAAUAUAAAAAUGUUUAAACACCGUUCUCUAACAGCUUAAGCUUUUAGGUAGCGUUUGGUUGGGGAACAAGUGGGGGAAUAAGCCCUUGUUCCCCCCUUUGUUCCCAAACUUUGGCUCUCGGGAACAAUAGUUCCCGGGAAUCUGGAACUAGCUGGAAUAAGGCUGGAACUGCUGUUCCACCCGUUUCCUGGAACAAGCUUGUUCCCUGAUGAGAACAAGAUUAAUUAAAAUCUAAAUUUAAUUUUAAUGGCAAUAAAUUAUUAAUUAAUCUAAUUAAUAUAUUUAAAUUAUUAUUUAUUGUUUUAAUAAUUAAAUAAUUAAAUAAUUUAUUAUUUAUAAUUAAUUAUUAAUAAUUAGAUAAUUAUUAUUAUUAAUUUAUUAUUUAUAAUUAAUUAUUAAUAAUUAAUAAUAUUUAUUAAUUUUUUAUUAAUAAUUAUUAAUAAUUAUUAUUCUUAAUGAUAAUCGAUAUUAUUAUUAAUAUAUUAUUUAUAAUUAAUAAUUAAUAAUUAAUAUUAUUAUUUAUUAAUAAUUAAUUAAUAAUUAUUAUUCUUAAUAAUUAGAUAAUCGAUGUUAUUAUUAAUUUAUUAUUUAUAAUUAAUUAUUAAUAAUUAUUAUUAUUAUUUAUUAAUAAAUAUUAAUAUUAAUUAUUAUUAAUAAUUAGAUAAUCAAUAUUAUUAAUAAUUUAUUAUUUAUAAUUAAUUAAUAAGAAUAAUUAAUAAUUAUUAUUAUUUAUUAAUAAUUAAUAAUAAUAAUAAUUAUUAUUAAUUAGAUAAUCGUUAUUAAUAAUUUAUUAUUUAUAAUUAAUUAUUAUUAUUAAUUAUUAUUUAUAAUUAAUUAUUAAUAAUUAAUUUUUUAUUUAUUUUUAAGUAAUAUUUUUAUGUUAAUUAAUUACAUAAUAUAAUUUUAAUUUCAAAUUAUAACGUUUAUUCCUCUUGUUCCAAUCUAAUCAUCCAAACACUAUUUACCUUAUUCCUAGGAACAACCUAAUUUUCAUCCAAACGCAAAAUUGGUCUAGUUCCUGCUUAUACUUGAACUUGUACCUAUUCCUAGAACUAGCAAUUCUUACUUAUACCCGAACCAAACGCAGCCUUAGAGUACAACGGUUGUUUCACAUAGA
rnacentral:lncRNA from 1 species